GCGACUGUGGCGAAGUGGUUAACGCACCGGAUUGUGGCUCCGGCACUCGUGGGUUCGAUUCCCAUCAGUCGCC
rfam:Bacillus halodurans C-125 DNA, complete genome.